GACGAACGCUGGCGGCGUGCUUAACACAUGCAAGUCGAACGGAAAGGCCCUGCUUGCAGGGUGCUCGAGUGGCGAACGGGUAAGUAACACGUGGGUGAUCUGCCCCUUACUUUGGGAUAAGCCUGGGAAACUGGGUCUAAUACUGGAUAGGACCAUGCUGUAGGUGGUGUGGUGGAAAGAUUAGUUUCGGUAAGGGAUGAGCUCGCGGCCUAUCAGCUUGUUGGUGGGGUAAUGGCCUACCAAGGCGUCGACGGGUAGCCGGCCUGAGAGGGUGGACGGCCACAUUGGGACUGAGAUACGGCCCAGACUCCUACGGGAGGCAGCAGUGGGGAAUAUUGCACAAUGGGCGCAAGCCUGAUGCAGCGACGCCGCGUGGGGGAUGACGGCCUUCGGGUUGUAAACUCCUUUCAGCCAUGACGAAGCCCUUGUGGUGACGGUAGUGGUAGAAGAAGCACCGGCUAACUACGUG
rnacentral:rRNA from 1 species